rnacentral:rRNA from 1 species
UGGGGAAUCUUCCGCAAUGGACGAAAGUCUGACGGAGCAACGCCGCGUGAGUGAUGACGGCCUUCGGGUUGUAAAGCUCUGUUAAUCGGGACGAAAGGCCUUCUUGCGAAUAGUUAGAAGGAUUGACGGUACCGGAAUAGAAAGCCACGGCUAACUACGUGCCAGCAGCCGCGGUAAUACGUAGGUGGCAAGCGUUGUCCGGAAUUAUUGGGCGUAAAGCGCGCGCAGGCGGAUUGGUCAGUCUGUCUUAAAAGUUCGGGGCUUAACCCCGUGAUGGGAUGGAAACUGCCAAUCUAGAGUAUCGGAGAGGAAAGUGGAAUUCCUGGUGUAGCGGUGAAAUGCGUAGAUAUUAGGAAGAACACCAGUGGCGAAGGCGACUUUCUGGACGAAAACUGACGCUGAGGCGCGAAAGCCAGGGGAGCGAACGGGAUUAGAUACCCCGGUAGUCCUGGCCGUAAACGAUGGGUACUAGGUGUAGGAGGUAUCGACCCCUUCUGUGCCGGAGUUAACGCAAUAAGUACCCCGCCUGGGGAGUACGACCGCAAGGUUG